rnacentral:rRNA from 1 species
AUGAGCUCUCAGAAGACAUCCUGGCCGGAGUUGGUGGGCGAGCCAGCGACACCGGCAGUGAUGACGAUUAACAGCCAAAGGCCCGACUUGACGACGGAGGUGCUCCAGAUUGGGACCAGCCCAAGCCCGCCGGGGUUCGACUCGACACGUGUCUGCGUCUUCCUCGAUCCACGAGACAAGCUUGGCCGUGUUGCAGCGGUCCCUGUCGUUGGCUAG